UACUUGGUGCUUCUGAAAUUCUCACCUCAGAACGUGACUGUUGGCAAGCAGUGUUCUCAAAUAAUGCUUUAAAGUUCCAAAAUCCAGGCUGCUUUGGAAUAUUGUGGACCUCAGAGGGGCCUUCACAGAUAAAGUAAGGCAGAACAUUUUUCUAAAGCAUCGACUUGAAUAAUUUAGCUUCAGAACCAACAAGGGACCACCACAGGGAUUUUACUGAGUGGAAGGCUUAAAUUCAUGUCUACAACCCCUGAAGCCCAGCAUUCGGAGCCUCAGCCCACCAUUCUUCAUUUCUGAUUUCUCUCCUCUGAGGAGAUAAGGACGACCCAAGGCCUCUCGGACCUUAUAUUUAGCUGAAGAGAGGAAGUAUGUAAGAGUCCAGAAGACAUCAUGAAUAUGCAAAACCUACGUGCAAACCUGGAAGCCCAAAGCUGAGGGAAAAAGUAACAUCGCAUUUAAUCCUCAUGAAAAUGCUAUGUGACCGGCAUUCUCAGACCCAUUUUACAGAUGAGUGAAAUGAAGUCCAGAAAAGGUAGCUAACUUCCUCAUUAUCGCAAAGCUAGUAAGCAGCACCUGAGCCCAAGUCUG
rnacentral:lncRNA from 1 species